rnacentral:rRNA from 1 species
AUGGGUUUUCAGAGAAAGAUUCUUCUGCCCGAGAGAGCCACCAUCCAGAAGACCGACGCUGGAACUCUGCAGCCGCUGAAGAUGAAGCGGCCUCGUGACGGUGAGGACGAAGGCGCUUCGGGGCCGCUGACGCCGACGGCGAACAGCGCAGGGACCGCGCAUCCGCGCUGCCCGCCGGCGCCGCCGAAGAAGCCGAGGCUCGUGCUGGGGUGCAGCCUGGACGGGUUCAAGGUUGUGAGCAUCAUGGACUUGCGUUGCUUCCUUCGUUGA